GAAUGAUUUGCAUGGGAACAUGUUCCUUGAAAGCUUACAAGAAUACACAGGUUCAAAAUUUCUGGAGCUCAUGAUUGUCCUGCCUUCCAGCCGUCUGUGG